rnacentral:rRNA from 1 species
AGCGAACGUUAGCGGCGGGCCUAACACAUGCAAGUCGAACGCGAAAGGGACUCGUCCCCGGUAGCGUGGCGUCCGGGUGAGUAACACGUAGGAAACCUUCCCUAGAGAGUGGGAUAACGUUCCGAAAGGGACGCUAAUACCGCAUAAGCCCACGACCGCUUCGGCGGAUGAGGGAAAAGAUGGCCUCUGUAUACAAGCUAUCACUUUGGGAUGGUCCUGCGGCGCAUCAGCUAGUUGGUAGGGUAAUGGCCUACCAAGGCGAAGACGCGUAGCUGGUCUGAGAGGAUGAUCAGCCACACUGGCACUGAAACACGGGCCAGAGUCCUACGGGAGGCAGCAGUGGGGAAUAUUGGACAAUGGGCGCAAGCCUGAGCCAGCCACGCCGCGUGAGUGAUGAAGGCCUUCGGGUUGUAAAGCUCUGUGGGGAGAGGCGAAAACAGUCAUCAAGAAACGGAUGAUUCUUGACGGUAUCUCCUUAGCAAGCACCGGCUAACUCUGUGCCAGCCGCCGCGGUAAUAC